rnacentral:tRNA from 1 species
AGCAGGGUGCAGUAGUAGUUGCUGGCAUGACUCAUGAUCAUGUAUACGUGGGUGCAAAUCCUACCCCUGCUA